rnacentral:rRNA from 1 species
ACGCUGCGGGAGGCCUAACACAUGCAAGCCGAGCGGUAUAAGUAGCUUGCUACUUAGAGAGCGGCGUACGGGUGCGUAACACGUGUGCAACCUGCCUUUAUCUGGGGGAUAGCCUUUCGAAAGGAAGAUUAAUACCCCAUAAUAUAUGUUUAGGCAUCUAAAUAUAUUGAAAACUCCGGUGGAUAGAGAUGGGCACGCGCAAGAUUAGAUAGUUGGUGAGGUAACGGCUCACCAAGUCUGUGAUCUUUAGGGGGCCUGAGAGGGUGAUCCCCCACACUGGUACUGAGACACGGACCAGACUCCUACGGGAGGCAGCAGUGAGGAAUAUUGGACAAUGGGUGAGAGCCUGAUCCAGCCAUCCCGCGUGAAGGACGACGGCCCUACGGGUUGUAAACUUCUUUUAUAUAGGAAUAAACCCAGAUACGUGUAUUUGGCUGAAGGUACUAUAUGAAUAAGCACCGGCUAACUCCGUGCCAGCAGCCGCGGUAAUACGGAGGGUGCGAGCGUUAUCCGGAUUUAUUGGGUUUAAAGGGUCCGUAGGCGGGCCUGUAAGUCAGUGGUGAAAUCUCAUAGCUUAACUAUGAAACUGCCAUUGAUACUGCAGGUCUUGAGUGAAUUUGAGGUAGCUGGAAUAAGUAGUGUAGCGGUGAAAUGCAUAGAUAUUACUUAGAACACCAAUUGCGAAGGCAGGUUACCAAGAUUCAACUGACGCUGAGGGACGAAAGCGUGGGGAGCGAACAGGAUUAGAUACCCUGGUAGUCCACGCUGUAAACGAUGCUAACUCGUUUUUGGGCUUUCGGGCUCAGAGACCAAGCGAAAGUGAUAAGUUAGCCACCUGGGGAGUACGUUCGCAAGAAUGAAACUCAAAGGAAUUGACGGGGGCCCGCACAAGCGGUGGAUUAUGUGGUUUAAUUCGAUGAUACGCGAGGAACCUUACCAAGGCUUAAAUGGGAAUUGACAGGUUUAGAAAUAGACCCUUCUUCGGACAAUUUUCAAGGUGCUGCAUGGUUGUCGUCAGCUCGUGCCGUGAGGUGU